UACCCUAUUUUUUUCAUUACAACUGUAAGGACCUUCCUCUCCAACCCUAACCCUACCCCUAGACUUUCUAUUGGAUUAAUACACGUUUUCAAGACCAGAACAUGUGUGGUCAUGUAGCUCUACGGGUUACGCCUGUGAUGUUCAGGACUCAUUCUUGUAUUUUACACUCUCUGAUGUUUUCUUUUCUUCAUGUCUAGUGUGUGAAUCAUUUCUGGUUUGUCUCUUCAGUGUCUCGUGGCCCUGCAGCUUCUCCUCCUCCACCUCCUCCUGAAGCCUUCAUCUUCUUCAUCAUCAGCUGCUCAGUGACUCUGUUGGACGUCUCACCGUGUGGCAGCAGCUCAGGAGUUUGCAGUCAACCAAGGCCGACUCAGAAUCACUCCCACCGGGAAGAUCUGUGAAGGAAGGUCCACCCGGCUGGUCCAGAAGCUCCGGUCCAGCAGAGCAGCGUCAGGAUGGAGACGUAACCGGUGUUGAUGUCACCGCCUUGACGAAUAGAAGAAAAGCCUGUAUUUGGGUAUGUAGGACUGGUAGUCCAGAGGUAGUGGUGGUGGUUUGGAACCUGGAGAGUGCAGGUUUGAUCCCCCACCCUGCUCAAGCUUUUUUUUUUACAUUUGGGCAAAAUCUGCCUUCGUGCCUUCGUGCCUUCGUGCCUUCGUGCCUUCGUGCCUUCGUGCCUUCGUGCCUUCGUGCCUUCGUGCCUUC